AGGAAAAGAAAAUAACAAUGAUUUCCCUAGUAACGGCGAGUGAAGAGGAAAGAGCUCAAAGUUGGAACCUAUUUGGCUUAGCUAAAUCGGAUUGUAAACUGUAGAAGUGUUUUCCAGACACGCCUGGUAAAAAAGUCCUUUGGAACAGGGCAUCAUAGAGGGUGAGAAUCCCGUCAUUGGCCAGAGCUGUUGUCUUUUGUGAUACAUUUUCAAAGAGUCAGGUUGUUUGGGAAUGCAGCCUAAAUUGGGUGGUAAAUCUCACCUAAAGCUAAAUAUUUGCGAGAGACCGAUAGCGAACAAGUACCGUGAGGGAAAGAUGAAAAGAACUUUGAAAAGAGAGUUAAACAGUAUGUGAAAUUGUUAAAAGGGAACCGUUUGGAGCCAGACUGGCUUAAUCGUAAUCAAUCUAGGCUUUGGCCUGGAUGCACUUGCGGUUUAUGCCGGCCAACGACAGUUUUGUUUGGGAGAAAAAAUUACAUUGAAUGUGGCCCCUCGGGGUGUUAUAGCUUUGUAAAAAAUAUCCUGGACUGGACUGAGGAACGCAGUGAAUGCCUUUAGGCAAGAUUGCUGGGUGCUUUCGCUAAUAAAUGCUAGAAUUUCUGCUUCGGGUGGUGCUAGUGUUUAAAGGAGGAACUCGCCUGGUAUAUUUUUUAUUCGCUUAGGUUGUUGGCUUAAUGACUCUAAA
rnacentral:rRNA from 1 species